GUUUCUGUAGUGUGGUGUAGUGGUCAUCACGUGCGCUUCACACACGCAAGGUCCCCAGUUCGAACCUGGGCGGAAACA
rnacentral:tRNA from 1 species